CCUGUGUUGGGCUGUGUAUGCACUGAUGUUACAGGACCUUUGCAAGGAUGGUCCUGUCCUGGUUUUGCUGAGACAGAAUCCCAAGUCAGCCCUGGGCUGCAGGCCAUUAGCAGUUCUGACACAGCUGGGGAAGCUUAUCUGGGUUGGCUACAGGUGUAGCCCAGACCACGAGCACCACACUCAGUCAUAAAUGAAGUCUGCUGAGAAAAAAAUCCUGAUAGAGCUUUCUGCUUGAUCUUUCUCAUCCUGUUCCUCAACCCUGUCUUGCUUUCAAGAGUGCAGAGCUAUAACCAUUUUCCCCCCCAGCCUCAUUGCCAAGAACUCCAGGCACCGCUGUGGCUGUCCCACCCUAAGAAUGAAGCCUCUCUCUGCUCACACAGCAAUGAUGGGAAGCAGCAGCGUGGGAGUGACCCAGAGCAUGGCACCGAGUGUCCAGGAGUCCUGUAUACUGCCGCAAGGGCAGGAGGCUGCACUUCAGUUACUGUUAACUCCCCUCAACAGCUCCAGGUAGUAACAGCAAGGUGCAGUCAGAUUAUCCAGGCUGGGGAGUAAGCAAUGCCCCCAGACAGUCUGAGAUGUGGCCAAGUUUAUUAGCUGAUGGAGCACCUGAACUGCUUCCAGAAACAGCUCAAGUCUGCAAAGCUCAGGCAUACUUUGGCAUGGCACAGAGCACACGCAGAGGUCCUGUUGGACCCACUGCCUCCAAAAAGAGCUGAGUCAGCAUGACUACUCCAGGGCCCCAGCACCAGACAUGUGGAGUCUGAAGAGCCAAGGCAGUGCUAUUUUUGAUCCCGUUUUAGAGCUGGUUUGGAUCCAGCUGAGAGUUAGCCCCUUCUGGGCUGAGCUCCAGCAGACUCUGCAUGAGUCCCCAACGUUUUGGGAUCAAGGAAGGUGUCUGAGAUGGAUGCAGCUGCAUUCAAGCACUCUCCAGCUGCUGACACCGAGCUGCUGGAGUGGGACAGGCAUCAGGCAGUAGCUGCCCGGGCCAACAAGGCUGGCGCAGGACCACAGCUAAUAAAUUCACCUGGACCACAUCCAUUCCUGUUUAGCAGUGACACCAGGACAUCUCUGCACUGGACUCUCCAGGUGCUCCAGGUUUUCCCACAAUGUGACUGCAGAGACAUCUGUUAUCCUGCACAAUGCACAGCUACAGAGUACUGCCCUGGAAAGACGGUAUGUAGUAAUGGGAAACACUGGUGCUAGAAAGGGGUUCUGUCUGGGGACAAUACUAAGAAAUUUUUCUGUGUUCUCA